AAGUCGUAACAAGGUUUCCGUAGGUGAACCUGCGGAAGGAUCAUUAACGAAUAUAAUUCAGAGGGGCUGUAGCUGGCUUCGGAAACGAGGCAUGUGCACGCUCUUCUGUCUUUCAUAACUCACCUGUGCACCUAAUGUAGGAUGCUCCUCCUUCGGGAGGGGGGGCCUAUGUCUUCAUACGCCUCUUCGUGUAGAAAGUCUUAGAAUGUUUACUAUCAGAGAGUCGCGACUUCUAGGAGACGCGAAUCUCUGAGACAAAGUUAAUUACAA
rnacentral:misc_RNA from 1 species